GCGAACGCUGGCGGCAGGCCUAACACAUGCAAGUCGAACGAACUCUUCGGAGUUAGUGGCGGACGGGUGAGUAACACGUGGGAACGUGCCUUUUGGUUCGGAAUAACUCAGGGAAACUUGUGCUAAUACCGAAUGUGCCCUUCGGGGGAAAGAUUUAUCGCCAUUAGAGCGGCCCGCGUCUGAUUAGCUAGUUGGUGAGGUAACGGCUCACCAAGGCGACGAUCAGUAGCUGGUCUGAGAGGAUGACCAGCCACACUGGGACUGAGACACGGCCCAGACUCCUACGGUAGGCAGCAGUGGGGAAUCUUGCGCAAUGGGCGAAAGCCUGACGCAGCCAUGCCGCGUGAAUGAUGAAGGUCUUAGGAUUGUAAAAUUCUUUCACCGGGGACGAUAAUGACGGUACCCGGAGAAGAAGCCCCGGCUAACUUCGUG
rnacentral:rRNA from 1 species